rnacentral:lncRNA from 1 species
CCACAUGUAUAUUGUGAAAGCCCAUUUGAUCUCUCUUUGUCACUCUCUUAAAAUUUAUCCAUUAAUCCAUCUCAAAAACACAAAACCUUUAUCUUCUCAUCCUCUAUCUUGAAUCUUCACACAUAUAUCCUGCGGAAAUUUCCAUAAGAAAUCUCUUUCCAAUCUUGUGUAAAACAGCAUAAUUCCUUUUCAUCUUUCUUGCUUCAUUAUUCAUUAAUGGCUGCAAAACAUUGGCCAGAAUAAAAAAAGCAUGUAAAAUGGAUAAUAUACAUGAAUACCCUGAACUUUCGUUUGAAGAGUAUAAUACUAAUAAACUUAUUCAUAUACAGCUUGAGAAAAUGGAGAUUCAUUACCAAUUUCCAAUGGUUACC